AACAAUAUCCUGAUGCUGACAGAGUGAACCUGGCGACUCCAGCAUCAGUGAUUUUGUUGC
rnacentral:pre_miRNA from 1 species